GCCUGGGUGGCUCAGUCGGUUAAGCGUGUCUGACUUCAGCUCAGGGCAUGAUCUCCCAGUUUGUGGGUUCGAGCCCCACAUCGGGUU
rnacentral:tRNA from 1 species